rnacentral:rRNA from 1 species
GAUGAACGCUAGCGGGAGGCCUAACACAUGCAAGCCGAGCGGGAUUUGUUGGUUAGCUUGCUAACUAACAAUGAGAGCGGCGUACGGGUGCGUAGCACGUGUGCAACCUGCCUUUAUCUGGGGGAUAGCCUUUCGAAAGGAAGAUUAAUACCCCAUAACAUAUUGAUUGGCAUCAGUUAAUAUUGAAAGCUCCGGCGGAUAGAGAUGGGCACGCGUAAGAUUAGCUAGUUGGUGAGGUAACGGCUCACCAAGGCUGCGAUCUUUAGGGGGCCUGAGAGGGUGAUCCCCCACACUGGUACUGAGACACGGACCAGACUCCUACGGGAGGCAGCUGUGAGGAAUAUUGGACAAUGGGUGAGAGCCUGAUCCAGCCAUCCCGCGUGAAGGACUAAGGACCUAUGGUUUGUAAACUUCUUUUAUACAGGGAUAAACCUACUCUCGUGAGGGUAGCUGAAGGUACUGUAUGAAUAAGCACCGGCUAACUCCGUG